AAACUUAGGUUUCUGUAAACUGAAAAUAUAUGUUAAGCCGCCUUGUUAAUGAGUUAUUAUUACCGAAUUAGCAAAAUCAUAGAGUUAAUUAACUAGAAUUCAAAUAACUGUUGAAUUUGAAUCAGCUGUAGGUGAUAUAUCGUCACAUCUCAUAGUUAAUGGUGGCUCAUUUUACCACUUGAAACUCAGCUGUAUUUCAGAAAACGUCGGGAAAGUGAUUUUCAUAUUAUUUAAUCAAUUUACAUGUAACGAAUUUGGCCGGCGUCCUUGUGCGCAUUGUACAAUUAUACAGUGAUUGCAAUAUUCUUUUCCGAUAAAUUGAAUGUAAAUUAAUUCAUCGGUGCAAAUUUACUGCCUCGACGCAGUGUUGCAGCAGCCCCAAGCUAAGGGAGCACCCAGCGCGCGUUUUUGGCUAUAUGGCAUAAGCGUCGUAUCUCUCAACAAUUCCGCACGAUUGACUCAUGUAACCAUGUUUACACUUAGAAUCAUGGUGCGCUGCUUGAAAGACAUGUGAAGGAGAUGAUGAGAUAUGGAUAUUGCUUAUAGACGAGACAUAAACUGAGCUAAGUGUAUCCAUAAUUCAUGCCAAAUGGACGCGUCUCUCUUGCCGGCCCCAAGAUGCAAUUUGUUUUCCUGGAAAGUUUGAAAGUUUCGUGUCAGUUUAUUAUCAUAGGAGGACUGCGGCGGGGCUUCGAUCUGAGACUUGUGCGACCAUGCCGCUUCAAAGUGUUCUAGAUUAUACAGUCUUAGCCGGCAUGUUAUAAUAAACUUUCGAUUUGUCUACACAAUCUAAUAGAGGGCGUUUUUUAUAUAUUUUCUUUUGAUCUUUCCAUUUUUCCCUGUGGCUUGUCUACAUAUUUGCUCCGCUUUCUGCAAUUGUCAUCGCCGCUUCCUGCCAGUCAAACAUCCGCCUUGGCAUCGAAAGUUUUUUUGAUUGAUAUCAAUACUUCCCUCUUGGAUAGCGCGGCAUGAAUCACCGCCAAAAGUAUGGGCCAACGGAACGUACGUCGGCUGCGCGCUUCCGCUGGUCAUUCCACUAUGCAGUAAAAGCGCGUACACUGGCUGCUGUCGACGGGGAAGCUGGGCCUUAAACGAUCUGUAUCUUACGGCUGAACGGAAAGUAGGAUCAUCGUCUGCGAGGGAUAUAUGUCUGACUGUGUGGUUUACCCCGAAAUACUUAGCGUCCGGAACUUUGGACAACAGCGCCGCUACCGUAUGUGGUCCGGAAGUCGAUCUGUGGAGCAUGUAAGCUCCAGGCCAGUUCCUUUUAUGUAGCUCUAAUACCGGUCUUAUCGCAGCGACGAAGAAGACCGUGCUACCCGGUUCGCGUGUGCCCUUUACUCAGAUAACGGUACCCAUAGUGCUGUUACACUGCUGUAGUGAAUCAAAGAGCAGCAGAACAACAGCCGGUCUUAAAAAUUAAUACGAUUCACUGGAAACACCGCUUAUACCAUUACCCACUGCAGUGCAAUUGUUCACCUUCUUCCGAGCGACAUUCAAUGCUUCUGAAGAAUGAUGAUCAGUGUACAAGCAUGCGAAAAGAGAGGCCGGAACCUACUCAUGCGGACACAUCUGUCAGAAUAGCCGGCAGCGAAACUGGAAAAAAUCAUACACUUUGGCACCGAACACCGGCGCGGCUCACGGCGGCUACGUCGACACAAUUGGACCAAAGAGAAAACUCUUGGGUGACACAUAUUGAGCGCGGGCGACUGAUGCGAUGGAAAAAUGGCAAAUACAGCAAAAAACUAUUGCCAUGACCUCAGACGAAAAAUUUAGUGCCUUAACCGCUUUCAUACCAUAAAACGACGCUAUUGAGCAUAUAAGCAAGAUUAUUGUUUAAGCGGGAAUGGAGCCAUUAGAAAAGCAGUCAAGCUCAAGAAAAUACGGUGACCUCGUAAAAUCGCUCCAGCGAAGAGAAAAUGAUGUUUUGCGGUGCCGACAUAAUUGAUGAUAUAGCGAUGAAAACAAACGACAGAAUGCCGGUCGUUGUUAUCAUGGCGGAUUUCAGCUGGCCCAGAAAGACGACAGCAGAACGGUUGUUUCACCCCGAUUUUACAAUGCACAGCGUUGAACCUUGUCAUCCACCGCAACAACGAUUAACACGCUCCCGGUGUAUGCAGUGUGUGCCUAAUGAAGCGGUCAAUCUCUGUGCUUCCAAAAAUAAAAUGCCCCAACACCGGCCUUCUAUUAGACGGACACGCAGUCAACGAAACAGUUGCAGUAGGAAAGUCGUGAUUAUUAAUAUCAACUGCAUUAUGUCUGUUAUGUAUACAAAGACACACAGCAUACACAUACAGGAGCAGCUGUCAAAAAGCAAUUUGCAAAUGCUGCUUAUAAAUCCCCGAUGAUAUAAGCCGGGAUAUCUUGUGCUGUGCGUUCAACGGUGCCACGCAUGUCACCACAUAACAAGGCAAGUAAGUGAUCAUCGGGCGUGUUUUUUGCCGCUAAGGGAAUCGUAGUGUGCUUCCGCUGUGAAACAGAGUAACCAAGGACAUCUAGGCCAUGAUAGAAAUUAACAACAAGUUGUUUGAUAUGGUAACUGAUUUGUUAGUGAUUAAUGGCUUUUCUCAUUAGAUGAUUGCACGCUGGCAUUGUACACUGAUGUACGGCCAGUAAACGAGUACAUGCAGUAAAAUAUUGUAUAAUGUAGCGCAUUCAUAGAGAAUUUAGACAAUAAGAUGUCUUGAUUUUGCUGGCUUAAUGUCUCCUAAUCGUUUUGCUCGUUUAUUGUAAGCUUAUAAGUGUCCUGUCAGCAGAGAUAUGGAUUUAAUAUUUGACAAUCCCUUCACGAUACAUCAUGUACACGUUAAUUCCGCAUCAUGUCUUCGUAAUGGCACUGGACAGCUGGUAAAAAACGACAAGGUACGGCUGCGCGCUGCCGCUCUGAAUUGGGUCAACAAAUCCUUGUUACGCAACCAAAUAGCCGCCUUAAAUUAGACUUUAAAAUUUGGAUUUGAUAUCGGCCAUCAGUCAGCACAGCGCUUCUCUUAGCGCCGACGCAAGGAAGCGAAAACAUGGCCAAUACUAGUGACAACCCUUCUAAAGCGUCGCCGGCUUGGCUCUAUUUCAGGAACACGUCCGGAUUUCCUUAAAUUUUCUACCAGAGCAUCCACAUCCUGCAUGUGUACGGUGUUGUGCGAAUAAAAAUGUUCACGUCCGACUGGCUCCCUAUUCACAUCCGCCAUUAAGAGAGUAUUAUUUUUUGGAUAGUUAGCAUGCACGGCAGUCAGUGCAUUCCUGGUACAAUUUAACCUACUCUACUUGCUGCGAAAUCCUUCCGGUUAGCGUCAUUUCCCGGUGACCGGCACAUCAAUUUUGUUCAGCGAAUCUGAUUCUUCUUUUGAAUGUUUUUAAAUACAAUGCCCACAUUGAGUGGUUUUAAAAAUUAAUCAUUGUAUUUUCCAGUACUUGUUCGAGAUACAAUGUAUGGCCGCUAUUACCAUUGUGAAUUGUGGAAUUUUUACCCACGUAGUCUCGUUGUGAGACUACACAAUCAGCUUCCUUAGAUCUCCAUUUUAAUUACAUUUAUCAAUGCCAGCGCGGUACAAAA